AUGUCUUAAUAUUGUUGCUGCUGGUCCAGGAAACCAUUGUUGCAAUCAUGUGCAUAAUAUGAUGGCGUUCAGCCUGAGAAGACUCACUGAAUCACGAGUCAAUCGCAAGGUGAGUCACGUGGUAACCCGAGCUCUCUCUCUCUCUCUCUGUGGCAGCAUCACACAUGACCAGAAAUUCAAGAUCACAUAACACACACACGUAACAUGAUACUCUCUUACCUAGUGUUUCAUUAACCAGAUUCAGUACGCGUGUAUUCAAUUACAAGUCUUAUCAUGAGGAUACAUUCUCUACGCAAAAAAAAAAAACUUAAAAAGCAUCACAGUGCAUGAGGAUGCGAGGAAGGAGUACACCCUUGAUGUGAUGCCAGUCCAGCACAGGGCACCAUACACGGACAUCCACACCUAGAGAAAAUCUGGAGGAAUCCAAAGGAACAUGGGGAGAAAGAGCAAACAGACAAGGUCCUUGAGCUGCGACGCAGUGGCACUGCCUGCUGUGCCACCACGCCACCCUAAGGUUACUCAGUUGGGACGACUCAGACCUGAGCGAAGACUCCACCCCCUGGCUGCAAACACAGUGUUGCCUGACGGCCGAGAGGAACCCCCGUCACUCAGGAAAGCCCCGGCACGACUCCGGCAACCCCGCAGACAACUGAACCCCUCACCACACGAUUUAACGCCCACAUGCAAACACACACACACACACGCACUCGCACUCACUCACACCCUCCAGACGGUCCUGAAAAAGAUCCUACUCGGCAACACUAAAAUGGCCUCCGCCAUGGCUUUCCACUUGCAACCCUGCCAUGCACACCAUUGUUGUUCAGUGUUCUCCUGAUGGUGGACUCAUGAAAUUCAACAUUAGUCAAUGUGAGACAAGCCUUUAGUUGCUUAUAAUUUACUCUGGUUUACCUUUUGGUCUAUUACACAUCUUGGAGUGAUCUUUGUUGGUCAACCACUCCUGGGGAGGGUAACAAUGGUCUUGAAUUGAAAGUGGAUUGGUGGAGUCCAAACUCUUGGACUGGUUUUGUAACUUUUCCAACCUGAAAAAUGUGAACAACUCUUUUUCUGAGGUCCUCAGAAAUCUCAGUGUUCAUGCCAUGAUACACUUCCACAAACAUGUGAUGUGAAGAUCAGACUUUGAUACAUCCCUGUUAUUUAAAUAAAAUAGCAUGCUUACUUACACCUGAUUGUCAUCCCAUUGAGUCUAGGUGAAGGUUCAUAUACUUUUGCCACUUACAGAUAUGUAAUAUUGGAUAAUUUUCCUUAAUAAAUAAAUGAA